GAUGAACGCUGGCGGCGUGCAUAACACAUUCAAGUCGAACGGGGCAGCAAUGCCUAGUGGCGGACGGGUGAGUAACGCGUGAGCAACCUGCCUGUGUGAGGGGGACAACAGCCGGAAACAGCUGCUAAUCCCGCAUGAAGCAUUCGAUGCGCAGGGUUUGAAUACCAAAGAUUUAUACCACACAGAGGGGCUCGCGUCCGGUUAGCUAGAUGGUCAGGUAACGGCUCACCAUGGCGACGAUCGGUAGCCGGACUGAGAGGUUGAACGGCCACAUUGGAACUGAGAUACGGUCCAGACUCCUAAGGGAGGCAGCAGUGGGGAAUAUUGGGCAAUGGGCGAAAGCCUGACCCAGCGACGCCGCGUGAAGGAAGACGGUCUUCGGAUUGUAACCUUCAAACAACAGGGAAGAAACAAAUGACUGUACCUGUUAGGAAGCCACGGCUAACUACGUGCCAGCCGCCGCGGUAACAC
rnacentral:rRNA from 1 species